rnacentral:rRNA from 1 species
GGACGAACGCUGGCGGCGUGCUUAACACAUGCAAGUCGAACGGAAAGGCCCUGCUUUUGUGGGGUGCUCGAGUGGCGAACGGGUGAGUAACACGUGAGUAACCUGCCCUUGACUUUGGGAUAACUUCAGGAAACUGGGGCUAAUACCGGAUAGGAGCUCCUGCUGCAUGGUGGGGGUUGGAAAGUUUCGGCGGUUGGGGAUGGACUCGCGGCUUAUCAGCUUGUUGGUGGGGUAGUGGCUUACCAAGGCUUUGACGGGUAGCCGGCCUGAGAGAGUGACCGGCCACAUUGGGACUGAGAUACGGCCCAGACUCCUACGGGAGGCAGCAGUGGGGAAUAUUGCACAAUGGGCGGAAGCCUGAUGCAGCAACGCCGCGUGCGGGAUGACGGCCUUCGGGUUGUAAACCGCUUUCGCCUGUGACGAAGCGUGAGUGACGGUAAUGGGUAAAGAAGCACCGGCUAACUACGUG